ACCAGCGACGACAGCACAAUGAAUGCACCAGUUCCCAAUGGAUCACUGAAGUUAAGCAACGUUGCGCAUGGUUAGUAUCCAGAUGGGUGACUUUUGUCCUAGGGUUUUUUUUU
rfam:Asian citrus Psyllid, Diaphorina citri - Florida Strain, whole genome shotgun sequence.